CGUCAAGCAGACCGGGACGGUUUCAGUGCAGUGGAAGCAAGUGCUAGCAGUUACCUUUCUCGCUAUAUAGUUGCCGGGUAUUGUGUGGUCUGACCGAUAACGAGGCAAAAUGGCAAAAGUGAUGGCUACAGCUAACAUCGCGAUGCGUAGCUAGUGGAAUAGUAUGAGAUCGGCCUUUCUUUGAUCCAGGCAUGCAGUUCGGUGUGGCAUUUUUGAUGAUCCUGUUGAGUUGGUGGUGUGGUAGCAACAAUGGUGUGCUAAGCAGCGGGGUGACCGGCAAGGCGCCGGUGGUUUUCC